ACAUGGGUACCUACCUUGGAGUGAGGGAUACCGGCGAGAAAUCGCCGACAAUACCGCAUAGGCUGCUUCCGCGAGGGAGCAGCAAAGUUGCGCAAGUGACGCUUUGAGAUGGGCCUGUGGCCGAUUAGCUAGUUGGGGGGUAACGGCCUCCCAAGGCGACGAUCGGUAGCUGGUCUGAGAGGACGAUCAGCCACACUGGGAUUGAGAACGGCCCAG
rnacentral:rRNA from 1 species